rnacentral:rRNA from 1 species
GAUGAACGCUAGCGGGAGGCCUAACACAUGCAAGCCGAGCGGUAUUGUUUCUUCGAAAAUGAGAGAGCGGCGUACGGGUGCGGAGCACGUGUGCAACCUGCCUUUAUCUGGGGGAUAGCCCUUCGAAAGGAAGAUUAAUACUCCAUAACAUAUUGAUUGGCAUCAAUUAAUAUUGAAAGCUCCGGCGGAUAGAGAUGGGCACGCGCAAGAUUAGCUAGUUGGCGAGGUAACGGCUCACCAAGGCGAGGAUCUUUAGGGGGCCUGAGAGGGUGAUCCCCCACACUGGUACUGAGACACGGACCAGACUCCUACGGGAGGCAGCAGUGAGGAAUAUUGGUCAAUGGGUGCAAGCCUGAACCAGCCAUCCCGCGUGAAGGACGACUGCCCUAUGGGUUGUAAACUUCUUUUGUAUAGGGAUAAACCUACCCUCGUGAGGGUAGCUGAAGGUACUAUACGAAUAAGCACCGGCUAACUCCGUGCCAGCCGCCGCAGUAACAC